UGCAGGUGAUAUAGACCCCACAUCCUACUGCAGGUGAUAUAGACCCUCCAUCCUACUGCAGGUGUUAUAGACUCUCCAUCCUACUGCAGGUGAUAUAGACCAUCCAUCCUACUGCAGGUGAUAUAGCCUCUCCAUCCUACUGCAGGUGAUAUAGACCCUCCAACCUACUGCAGGUGAUAUAGACCAUCCAGCCGUCUGCCAGCAGGUGAUAUAGACUCUCCAUCCUACUGCAGGUGUUAUAGACCCUCCAUCCUACUGCAGGUGAUAUAGACCAUCCAUCCUACUGCAGGUGAUAUAGACUCUCCAUCCUACUGCAGGUGAUAUAGACCCUCCAUCCUACUGCAGGUGAUAUAGGCCCUCCAGCCUACUGCAGGUGAUAUAGACUCUCCAUCCUACUGCAGGUGAUAUAGACCCUACAUCCUACUGCAGGUGAUAUAGACCCUCCAUUCUACUGCAGGUGAUAUAGACCCUACAUCCUACUGCAGGUGAUAUAGACCCUACAUCCUACUGCAGGUGAUAUAGACUUUCCACCCUACUGCAGGUGAUAUAGACUCUCCACCCUACUGCAGGUGUUAUAGACUCUACAUCCUACUGCAGGUGAUAUAGACUCUACAUCCUACUGCAGGUGUUAUAGACUCUACAUCCUACUGCAGGUGUUAUAGACUCUACAUCCUACUGCAGGUGAUAUAGACUCUACAUCAUACUGCAGGUGUUAUAGACCCUACAUCCUACUGCAGGUGAUAUAGACCCUCCAUCCUACUGCAGGUGUUAUAGACCAUCCAUCCUACUGUAGGUUAUAUAGACUCUCCAUCCUACUGCAGGUGAUAUAGACCCUCCAUCCUACUGCAGGUGUUAUAGACCCUACAUCCUACUGCAGGUGAUAUAGACCCUCCAUCAUACUGCAGGUGAUAUAGACCCUCCAUCCUACUGCAGGUGUUAUAGACUCUCCAUCCUACUGCAGGUGAUAUAGACCAUCCAUCCUACUGCAGGUGUUAUAGACCCUACAUCCUACUGCAGGUGAUAUAGACCCUCCAUCCUACUGCAGG